UUGCUUUGGCAGCACAUAUUCUAAAAAUGGAACAAUACAGAGAAAAAUAGCAUGGCCCCUGAGCAAAGAUGACAUGCAAAUUUGUAAAAAUGAUGCAAUAUUUU
rnacentral:snRNA from 1 species